UACAGAGGGUGCGAGCGUUGUCCGGAAUUACUGGGCGUAAAGGGCGCGCAGGCGGCUGCUCAAGUCAGGCGUGAAAGGCCUGGGCUCAACCCGGGAAUUGCGCUUGAGACUGGGCUGGCUUGAGUGCGGGAGAGGAUGGUGGAAUUCCCAGUGUAGAGGUGAAAUUCGUAGAUAUUGGGAAGAACACCGGUGGCGAAGGCGGCCAUCUGGACCGCAACUGACGCUGAGGCGCGAAAGCGUGGGGAGCAAACAGG
rnacentral:rRNA from 1 species